UUGAAAUACUAGUUCCCGUAAGAUCUUCAAAGUUAAGCAACGUCGAAUCAGGUCAGUACCUAGAUGGGUGACCUCUUGGGAACACAAGGUGCUGUAAG